GUACACUUAGAGCCCCACCCACAGAGAAGGUGUUAAUAGUACGGCGUUUGGCCGCGCCUACGGUUAGUGAAUC
rnacentral:ncRNA from 1 species